AUGUACGGUUGCCAUUUUCUUAUGAACUGCGCAAACUUCUUUUUAGUUUGAAUCUAGUCGAAGCUAACUGAUUUCUUGCUAUGAGUUCUGUAGGAGAAGACAAUGAAGAGCCAAUCCUAUUGACAGGGCCCAACGAAGAGACUUUACAUGAGUUUAGCAAUACUCUGAUACAUGUUGCAUUUCCAGAGAUCACAAAGAGAAACAGAGAACGACGAGUGAUUUCAGGCCAGAAACUUCUUAAAGAAAAAAGGCAACCGCUGUAGCAUGUAUCAAGAAAUCAAACACAUUUGCUCAGCUGAAGAAGGCAAAAACGACUUUUUAUCGUAUUGUAUCGAAAUGAAGACGCUGCACGAAGAGAUCUGUACGAUCGCCAAAACAUCGACCUCUUGUGGGAUCCUGGACCACAAAAUAUACUUGAGCAGUUUGCCAAUAUGGAUCACCUCAUCAGCUUCAAAAGCAAACUAAACAGACAACAAGAGAAUGCGAUUUGCAAGUUUUGGGGAUACGAAAGGCGGCCUACAACCUGGUGGUUUACUAACUUCUUUCUCUUUCAUAUUUGGUUCAUUACAACUAGGUUUGAAACAAUGAAGUUAGGGACAAUGGCCUGCGGCCGGGUUCCUUGGAUGUUGAGUACCAAGCUGGUGACAAUAAUUGCCUUGAAUGUGCAACUUAUACUUCGACUGCGGGCUUUGCUGUCAUCAUGGCUGACAACACUAGCUGCCUCAGUAAAGACAGUAAAACAGACUAAUGGUUCAAACACUUGAGUUUCUAUUGAUUCUUUGAAAUAUUUGUUUUUGUUUACUGCUUGCAAUUUCUUAUAAAGUGUACGUAUUUACUUGUGGUAAUUUUUUCGCAUCC